CAAGCGUUGUUCGGAAUUACUGGGCGUAAAGGGCUCGUAGGCGGCCAACUAAGUCCGACGUGAAAUCCCCAGGCUUAACCUGGGAACUGCGUCGGAUACUGGAUGGCUUGAAUCCGGGAGAGGGAUGCGGAAUUCCAGGUGUAGCGGUGAAAUGCGUAGAUAUCUGGAGGAACACCGGUGGCGAAGGCGGCAUCCUGGACCGGCAUUGACGCUGAGGCGCGAAAGCUAGGGGAGCAAACGGG
rnacentral:rRNA from 1 species